AACGAACGCUGGCGGCAUGCCUAACACAUGCAAGUCGAACGAGACCUUCGGGUCUAGUGGCGCACGGGUGCGUAACGCGUGGGAACCUGCCCUUAGGUUCGGAAUAACUCCCCGUCAGGGGUGCUAAUACCGGAUAAUGUCUUCUGACCAAAGAUUUAUCGCCCUUGGAUGGGCCCGCGUUGGAUUAGCUAGUUGGUAGGGUAAAAGCCUACCAAGGCGACGAUCCAUAGCUGGUCUGAGAGGAUGAUCAGCCACACUUGGACUGAGACACGGCCCAGACUCUUACAGGAGGGAGGAGUGGGUAAUACAGGACAACGGGCUAAAGCCUGAUCCAGCAAUGCUUCGUGAGUGAUGAAGUUGUGAGAGAUGUACAGCACGUUUACCCGCGAUGAUAAUGACAGUACCGGAAGAAUAAGCUCCGGCUAACUUCGUG
rnacentral:rRNA from 1 species